AUUAUUUCAGGCUGUGAUCCUAGAAACUCGCGCACAGACGUGUGGCUUUAUGCUGAGGAAUAACCAUCCCAAUCAAGACGCCUUUGUUUGACUCUAAUUGCUUAUGCGCUUCAAAAUUUGCAUAAUUAGAUAAAAUUCGAAAUAAAAGAGGAGUAGGAAUAACGUGCACACAACUUGACCUUGAUUGCAGUUAGGCGCCGGCGGAGCUGCGGUUUAGCUGUGAUCAGCAGUUACGUCGGACUGUUCGCGUUGUGGGGAGGCUCGGCCUCACCGCUGGGAAGCCGACGGUGCCUCGGGCUGUGGCUGAACCUUUUAUUGCUCCUUCGGUGUUUAGUUGCACCAUAUAUUGUUUUUCUUGCUGUAUGUUUGAAAUUCCAACCCACGCCGUUUUCCGGAGGGCGUUGCUUGCUGGCUCGCAUGCUGGUGGUCAUUGUGGCUUAUCUUCCCCCUUCAGCAUGGACUUGUUUUAGCGCUGGUUAUUGAUAUAGGUGUUUUGAAAGCGUUGCUGAAAUCAACGUGAACAACAUCCCUUGUUUUUCCCAUGCCCACUGCUCCAGUCACCGCCCCCAGCAGUUCAGCACGGGUGGGCGCAGUGUGUCCGCAGUAAAGCCAUCCCCGUUCCCUUCUCGCCUUUCGUGCCCCUGGAAAUGACUUCUGUGGGGCUCUGAAGAUCCAUGGUCUCCCCAGCGGCUGAGGUGGGGCUCGCCCUGUUUGGGGUUGGAACACUGUUUGCCUUUUUCCAGCCCUGGGGAGGCUCCCCUGGUCUCCGUGAGCCUGGAAAGGAGCUGAGACAUUUCCAGCUCCUUCAGCACCGUUGGAGGCCUCCUGCCCUCCAGCUGGGAUGAGCAGUGAUGAGAGCGCACUGCACAACAGUAAGCGCAGACUUUGGCAAAUACAGGUAUUUUUGUUUUGCUUUCGAAGGGUGAUCUUUUGUUUCAUUCUCUCCCUUUCUAUCUCACAGCCUGUGUGUUUGCAGAGCUUUUCUCCGGUCUCCUGCCUGUGCCUUUGCCUCCUUGGGCUUUGUCUCUGUCUCCAGUGCCUGAUGUGUCUUCCAGCAAAUAGCACAUGUUUGCUGGCAUAUGGACCUGCUUGUCUCCUGUACCAAAGCGUGGAGGAUGGCCUCAGCAAAACGCAGCCCCCAGAAGCAUGCAGCAGGGCGAGCAGGUCCAUGGGGCAGGGACCCCAGACCUGGGGUCCUUACCAGCCACCCAGGAUAACCGCGCAGAGCAGCGGUCCCAGCUGAGGGCCGGCUCCCUUGUGACUGCAGAGUUGCCUGAUAUGUGAAACAUGAAAUAAAGCCUGGAAUUACUGCA
rnacentral:lncRNA from 1 species